ensembl:lncRNA
GUUUAUUUUGAAAUUGAUGUAUGCAACACGUUCCAAAAAAGUUGGGACAGGAGCAGUUUAGGACUAAUAGCGAUGUGAUGAGUUGAAAUAAGAAGGUGAUGUGAAACAGGUGAGGCGAUCGUCUACUCAGAGUAUAUAAGGAGAAUCCAAAAACGGUCUAGACCUUCAAGAGCGAGGACGGGUCGAGUCUCGCCGAUCUGCCAACAGAUACGUCAGUAAAUAAUCAAACACUUUGAGAAGAACAUUCCCCAAAGACAAAUCGGUAGGAUUUUGGGCGUUUCACCUUCUACAGUGUACAAUAUAGAUAAAAGAUUCAAGGAAUCCGGUCAAAUCUCGGUGCGUAAAGGGCGAGGCCGAAAACCACUUCUGAAUGCGCGUGAUCUCCGAUCCCUCAGACGUCACUGUCUUAAAAACCCUCAUGAGUCUGUAAUGAGAUCCUGACAUGGGCUCGGGAAUACUUUGGUAAACCUUUGUCAGUCGACACCAUUCGCCGCUGCAUCCACAGACGCAAGUUAAGACUUUACUAUGCAAAGCAGAAGCUGUACAUCAACACUGUCCAGAAGCUCCGCCCACUUCUCUGGGCUCGGUCUCAUCUGAGAUGGACAGUAACACAGUGGAAUUGUGUUUUGUGGUUCGACAAGUCGCCAUUUCAAAUAGUUUUUGGACAAACAGCCGUCGUGUUCUCUGGGCCAAAGAGGAAAAGGACCGUUCGAGCUGUUAUCAGUGUCAGGUCCAAAACCCAGCGUCUGUUAUGGUAUGGGGGUGUGUCAGUGCCCAUGGUAUGGGGGUGUGUCAGUGCCCAUGGUAUGGGGGUGUGUCAGUGCCCAUGGUAUGGGGGCAUGUCAGUGCCCAUGGUAUGGGGGAGUGUCAGUGCCCAUGGUAUGGGGGAGUGUCAGUGUCCAUGGUAUGGGGGAGUGUCAGUGUCCAUGGUAUGGGGGUGUGUCAGUGCCCAUGGUAUGGGGCAUUGUCAGUGCCCAUGGUAUGGGGGCGUGUCAGUGCCCAUGGUAUGGGGGCGUGUCAGUGCCCAUGGUAUGGGGGCGUGUCAGUGCCCAUGGUAUGGGGGCGUGUCAGUGCUCAUGGUAUAGGUAACUCACAUCUGUGAGGGCAGCAUUAAUGCAGAAAGAUAUAUAGACAUUUUGGAGGAACAUACGCUGCCACCCAGAGCAGGACAACGCCAAACUACAUUCUGCCCGGAUUACAAGCGCAUGGUUGCGUAAGCAGAGAGUGCGGGUGCGCGCAUGGCCUUCUGCAGUCCUGACCCGUCUCCCAUUGAGAACGUGUGGCACAUUAUGAAGCGCAAAAUCAGGCAAGGAAGGAACUGUACAGCUGUGCAGCUGAAGAAAUGCAUGGACGAAUGGGGGAAAAUUCCACUUGCUAAACUUAACCAAGUGGUGUCUUCACUCAGCGCCCAAACGCUUAGUGAGUGUUAUUAAAAGAAGAGCUGAUGUUACACAGCGCUAAACAGUCAACUGUCCCAACUUUUUUGGAGUGUGUCGCA